rnacentral:sRNA from 1 species
UGUGCGCCAUUUUUUGGACCCCCUACUCUUCUUGAAACUCUUCCCUGUUUAACUCUGGCUUCGGUACAAGGGUGUGGGGGGGGGCAGAGGUCUUUGUGAUGUAUUUCACUGAUGCUUCUAUACUGGGAGAUGCCUCCAAAUAUCAUUGCUUUCUUCCAGUUCUACUACACACAUGGGAGUUAUUUAGGGAGAACUUUCUGAGCUAUGGCCAA